rnacentral:tRNA from 1 species
AUUUGUUAAUUUCAAUCUAUACGAAAGGACUAUUGAAAAAGAAAAAUUUUUCCUCUAGAA